rnacentral:rRNA from 1 species
GAUGAACGCUAGCUACAGGCUUAACACAUGCAAGUCGAGGGGCAGCAUGGAAGAAGCUUGCUUCUUCUGAUGGCGACCGGCGCACGGGUGCGUAACGCGUAUCAAACCUGCCUCAUACUCGGGGAUAGCCUUGCGAAAGUAAGAUUAAUACCCGAUGUUGUUAUGUUUCCGCAUGGUAAUAUAACCAAAGAUUUAUCGGUAUGAGAUGGUGAUGCGUCCGAUUAGGUAGUAGGCGGGGUAACGGCCCACCUAGCCAUCGAUCGGUAGGGGUUCUGAGAGGAAGGUCCCCCACACUGGAACUGAGACACGGUCCAGACUCCUACGGGAGGCAGCAGUGAGGAAUAUUGGUCAAUGGACGCAAGUCUGAACCAGCCAAGUAGCGUGCAGGAUGACGGCCCUCUGGGUUGUAAACUGCUUUUAGCUGGGAAUAAAAAAGAGGACGUGUCCUCUAUUGUAUGUACCUUCAGAAAAAGGACCGGCUAAUUCCGUGCCAGCAGCCGCGGUAAUACGGAAGGUCCAGGCGUUAUCCGGAUUUAUUGGGUUUAAAGGGAGCGUAGGCGGAUUAUUAAGUCAGUGGUGAAAGACGGUGGCUCAACCAUCGUUAGCCAUUGAAACUGGUAGUCUUGAGUGCAGACAGGGAUGCUGGAACUCGUGGUGUAGCGGUGAAAUGCUUAGAUAUCACGAUGAACUCCGAUCGCGAAGGCAGGUGUCCGGGCUGCAACUGACGCUGAGGCUCGAAAGUGUGGGUAUCAAACAGG